rnacentral:rRNA from 2 species
GGACGGGUGAUUAUCACGUGGGUAACCUGCCCUUAAGUGGGGGAUAACAUUUGGAAACAGAUGCUAAUACCGCAUAAAUCCAAGAACCGCAUGGUUCUUGGCUGAAAGAUGGCGUAAGCUAUCGCUUUUGGAUGGACCCGCGGCGUAUUAGCUAGUUGGUGAGGUAACGGCUCACCAAGGCAAUGAUACGUAGCCGAACUGAGAGGUUGAUCGGCCACAUUGGGACUGAGACACGGCCCAAACUCCUACGGGAGGCAGCAGUAGGGAAUCUUCCACAAUGGACGCAAGUCUGAUGGAGCAACGCCGCGUGAGUGAAGAAGGCUUUCGGGUCGUAAAACUCUGUUGUUGGAGAAGAAUGGUCGGCAGAGUAACUGUUGUCGGCGUGACGGUAUCCAACCAGAAAGCCACGGCU